rnacentral:rRNA from 1 species
GAUGAACGCUGGCGGCGUGCCUAAUACAUGCAAGUCGAGCGAACGGACGAGAAGCUUGCUUCUCUGAUGUUAGCGGCGGACGGGUGAGUAACACGUGGAUAACCUACCUAUAAGACUGGGAUAACUUCGGGAAACCGGAGCUAAUACCGGAUAAUAUUUUGAACCGCAUGGUUCAAAAGUGAAAGACGGUCUUGCUGUCACUUAUAGAUGGAUCCGCGCUGCAUUAGCUAGUUGGUAAGGUAACGGCUUACCAAGGCAACGAUGCAUAGCCGACCUGAGAGGGUGAUCGGCCACACUGGAACUGAGACACGGUCCAGCCUCCUACGGGAGGCAGCAGUAGGGAAUCUUCCGCAAUGGGCGAAAGCCUGACGGAGCAACGCCGCGUGAGUGAUGAAGGUCUUCGGAUCGUAAAACUCUGUUAUUAGGGAAGAACAUAUGUGUAAGUAACUGUGCACAUCUUGAUGGUACCUAAUCAGAAAGCCACGGCUAACUACGUG